rnacentral:rRNA from 1 species
AAACCUCGAUUUUGAUACAUACACACAUUAUCCGCCAGGGUACUACGAGCGCUAGCUUAAAACCCAAAGGACUUGGCGGUGUUUCAGAUCCACCUAGAGGAGCCUGUUCUAGAAUCGAUAGUCCCCGCUUAACCUCACCAUCCCUGGCUUCAAACCCCGCCUGUAUACCGCCGUCGUCAGCUUACCCCUUGAAGGAAUGAUAGUAAGCGAAACAGGUACCCCCUAUUACGGCAGGUCAAGGUGCAGCGCAUGAGAUGGAAAGAAAUGGGCUACAUUCUCUUCUUCACAGAGAACACGGAAGGUCCAAUGAAACUCACACCCUAAGGAGGAUUUAGCAGUAAGAAGAAAGAAAGAAAGUUCU